CCCGUCUCUCUCUCGAUAGACGAUAUGGGUUGGGUUGGGGGUAAUAGUCAUCCUUGAUCCUUAAUCCGUCGCAGGGAAGGGAAGGGAAGGGAAGGGAAGGGCGGAAGUAGCUGCAGCAAUGCCAUAAACCCAUUCUCCGGGUUGGUGGUUGGCGAGCCGUCUGUCCUCGACAGUGUAGGGCGGGCUUCGUCUUUUCCCAGGUUUAGCUACCUCUUCUUCGUCUCCUGCCUUCCCCCAGAGGAGAGGAAGGAUUCUACAUGCCCUUCUUUUUUCCAAGGAGAAGGACUGACGCGGUGCUGGAUGUUGUUGUUGCGGUUCCCGAAGUGGCUCCUCCGGCCUCAGCCUCUUGUAGUGCUCGCCCCUCCCGCCGUUGCUACGUUCCUCCCCACCUCCGCAACCGCUCCUCCCCCUCUUCCCUGUGAGGCGGCUCCGGUCGUUCCGCGAGCCGAAUCCCUUGGACAUCGGCGACGAGUUGGAAACUUGGAUGACCUGGGCAUCUCGGAGCAGCGGCAGCAGCAGGGUAUCAACUUGGACCCCUACAAAGACAUCCCCGUGGAGAUUAGCGGCGUGGACGUGCAUCAGCCGGUGAACACCUUCGCGAGGUCCUCCACCUGAGUAUCAAACCGUGCAAGUAUGUGAAGCUGACUCCAGUCCAGCGGCACGCCAUCCCCGUAUCCCCGGCCCGCUGGGACCCUCGGGCCUUCUGCUUCCCGUUCAUCAGCAGGAUACUGAGGAACUGCCCGCUUACGCCUUUAUCUUGUUCCCGACCAGGGAGUUGUCCUGCGAGGUCCCAUUGAUUACCUCGAGGCAUCGUAAUUUUCUCCAUCUUUACGUGGAAAAAAAGGGAAAAAAAAAUCUGGACGAAUAACAAUUCAGAAAGAAGUUGUCUUGUCAAACGGGGGUCAGUUGCUUAUGGAGGAACUCCCAUCCCUAAGCAGUUCUAGCACGGACUUGAUUUUCCAAGGAGUGGAAUGUGUUCCUGAUAUGGAGAAAAAAGUUAUUUAAUGGAUUGUUUUCAUGCCUAAAGAGUGAAUGGAACUCAUGGAAAGGAGCGAGAGCAAGCAUUGAGAUCCUUUAAGAGUGGCAACCACUCCCAUCAUGGUAGCAAUGAUAUUGCUGCCUGUGGUCUGGAUAUUCCACAUUUUGCUCAUGUCAGCAACUUUGAUCUGCCCAAAGACAUAGAUGAUUAUAUUCACAGGAUUGGUGGGACAGGAUGAGCUGGGAAGUCUGGUUUGGCUACUGCACUCUUUGGUGAUGGUAACCAGCCACUAGCUAAAGUUUUGGCUGCACUUAUGCAGGAGGCAAAACAAGAGGAUGAUUGUUGGUUAUAUCAUCUGGCGCUCUCGUGAUGGUGUGGAAUGAUUGCAAAUAUAUGCCAAGCCUCUUUCUAUGUAGUUAGGCCACAAUUCAGUGUUCGUUUAAAUUGAUCUCUGUACCGGGCCAGCAUGCCAAGUGAAUUAUAAAUGUAGAUCGGCCUCAUCGAGGAACUCGCAUUGUAUCUCUUUUUAGACUAUCUGUAUCAGUUUAUCAGAGGUCUGGCCUCUUGGCCUCCCUGUAAUCUUCAGAAUUCUGUAUUUACUGAGUGUCAUGAUGGUAAGGUUUUGAGAUUAUUAAUUUGUCUUCGGACGCUUCGGUUAUGCUAUGCAGUGUUCUUUUCUGCUGUGUCUUUCAGCUGUCAAACUGCUACAUGAUCAAUAUCCAUGCUACCUCCUGGCAUGCGAAAACUGGUGAAACUGGAAGUUCAUCAGUAUUUCAUGUGAUGAUGACACGUGGAGUGGUACAGUAUGUGAUAGUUCAACCGUGGGGUCCGAAAGUUCAAAGCAGUCCAAAGGAAAUGAUAACAACCACAAUGAGCAUCAUUAUAAUCAUAAUCAGUGUUCCCUGAAUCUCAAAUCAUAAAUGCUAGACAUAUAUACAUGCAUGCAUGCAUGUGACGCACGCAUGCAUACACCCAUAUCCACGCACGCACGCACGCACAUGUAUGUACAUUACAUGCAGACUCAGAUGACAGAUGAGUUUUCGAGGGCAUACCCAAACUAUAGCGGAUAGAGAAUUUUGGAACAUGGAACUUGGGAUAGACCAAAUGGGUACAAGGGCCUGCCUGGCAUUUGCCUAUCCUAUGUACUGCACUUGCUAUGGAGAGCCAGGGAGUAGUGCAAGGAGUCAAUAAUACUUACCAUAUUUAUCAAAAUUAUUGUCAUAUAUUGUGAUGGGUGGAUUUGUAGCCAUUGGUUAGGUGUUUUUUAUGGAAUGAAUCAAUAUGCAUCGAGCCAUCAGGAUUAAAGAUGAUUGAUUGAUGGCAAGCCUGCAAAUUCAAAUUCCCCUUUUGGGAUGUUUGUAUGUACAUAUUGAAUUUCAUCCAUUAUUACUAGGCUAAUUUCUGCAAAUUCAACUUCAUUUGUCGGUUUCAUGCAUCCCUCACGAAAGCUGGAGACUUGGAGUCUGACAGUUUGGGAAAGAAAAAGGGGGGUCCACAACUAGUGUCCACCAAGCAUCCAUCUAUAAAGAUUUGUGGUAGGAAUUUUAGGCAUUGAAUUUAUAGAUAUAACAUGAAGAAGAAGAAGAAG